rnacentral:snRNA from 1 species
AAACUUACCUGGCGCCGGGUUCAGGGUGAUCAGGAAUGCUCUGACCCCGGGUGGAGGCUCACCAUUGCACCUCGGUGGGUUGAAACUCGCGACGAACCCUAAUCGGGUGCGCUCGGGCGUGUAGUUUUAAAAGAAAUAAUGAUGACAUUUUACUUUC